GAGAUGAGAGACAUACUCCGAGGAAACUUUGCCCUCAAAGGGAGAGAAAUGUAGUGGCUAGAGAUGGACGCGAGCGAAUUUUUGGAGGCUAUUACACAUGUUUAGUUUGCUGGCGGCGGCGUGGGGGUGGUACAAGAGGGAAGAACGCUGAAGCAGGAGACUCUGGAUACGGAGGGCGUGAGGAAGCCCGCGUAGCCUCUCCCCCAAAGGCACUGUAAACCUAAACAGAGCUGUCAAAACCAACUAUGUCAGUGCUCUGGAUACAGACCAAAGGCAUACAACAAACAGAAGCUUCUGCUCACGAAACGUACUGAACUUAGGUACAGCCCCUCCAGAAGACAGUCUGGCAGGUUUUUAUAAAGCAUGGACUGAUCUAUGACCCAGAACUCGUGACCCUGGAUAUUUUACCUAAGUGAACUGAAAACUUAUGUUCCUGCAAAAAAAUAUGUACACAAAUGUUAAGAAGCAGUUUUAUUAAUAAUCACCCCCAACUGGAAGCUACUAAGAUGCCCUUCACCGUGGGAAUGGAUGAACAACUGCAAAUAACACAGUAUCCAGCCGUGAAAAGGAUCAAGUUGUCGAUCUUCAAGAGUCAUCCUUGCAACAUGGAUGGGUCUCAAGUGCAUUCGCCAACACCACAGCUAUCUGUAUCACACAAGCUAUCUGUAUUCCCAAGAUGUAGCUACUGACGAACUCGGCCUGAGGUACUGUGAGACCUGAGCUGGUACUGGAGAAGACAAUGAGUGUUUUUCUCUUUUACUUCUUCCUCCUCAAACCAAACAACAUUCCUCUUGAAAAUUUCCAGCAAUGGGGCA